UUGGGUAGGCGGGCUCGGUCUGGUCUGGUCUGGUCUUGUUUGGAUCCAGCGGCGCGAGGCGGCGGGAGGUGGUGGCCGCUGUAGGGGAGGGUUCUUCCGCUUCUCUAGCCGGUUCUCCUCGUCGCCUAGCUCCCCCUGAGCGCCUUGCGCACCCUGCUCUGCUCCGGUGGCCGACCGAGGAACUACGCGGUGGCGGUCAAGGAGCUGUCGGGAGUUGCGGCCACAGGGAGGAGGUCGUUCGACCCGAAGAGGGAACCUCUUCCAACUAGAAGGACACCUAGACUCACGACGUUUGGACUUCGACGAACUUGUAUUACAAUGGAGAUUGGACCCUCAUUUCGUGUGUUAUAUCGAAGUAAAAGUGAGACGUCCUGUGUUUUGUGAUGUUUGAACAUAGACACUCGAAGUACGAUUUCAACUCUUGGUGACCUCCUACUUACGAUCGUGGAACUAUCGAAUUGUAUGGACUGGUCAGUGACGGGUCGAACCUACCUUCUAAAAAAACAACAACAACUUUUCCUACCUUCUAUUACGAGAAGCAACAACAAUAGAUGGAAGAAGGGAUGAUACAUGUGUAC
rnacentral:rRNA from 1 species